UUCCGCCUGGGGAGUACGGCCGCAAGGCUGAAACUCAAAGGAAUUGACGGGGACCCGCACAAGCAGCGGAGCAUGUGGUUUAAUUCGAUGCAACGCGAAGAACCUUACCUGGCCUUGACAUGUCGAGAACUUUCCAGAGAUGGAUUGGUGCCUUCGGGAACUCGAACACAGGUGCUGCAUGGCUGUCGUCAGCUCGUGUUGUGAAAUGUUGGGUUAAGUCCCGCAACGAGCGCAACCCUUGUCUUAUGUUGCCAGCACGUUUGGGUGGGGACUCAU
rnacentral:rRNA from 1 species